rnacentral:tRNA from 1 species
GAGAGUAUAGCUCUGUGGUAAAGCACAUGCUUACCAUGCAUGAGGUCCUGGGUUCUAUCCCCAGUACCUCCG